ACGCUCGACACCUACGGGAUGCAGCAGUGAGGGAUAUUGGUCAAUGGGGGAAACCCUGAACCAGCAACGCCGCGUGAGGGAUGACGGUCUUCGGAUUGUAAACCUCUGUCCUCUGUGAAGAUAAUGACGGUAGCAGAGGAGGAAGCUCCGGCUAACUACGUGCAGCAGCCGGCGGUAAUCUGAGCGGGCUGGCAAGGC
rnacentral:rRNA from 1 species